GACGAACGCUGGCGGCGUGCUUAACACAUGCAAGUCGAACGGAAAGGCCCUGCUUUUGUGGGGUGCUCGAGUGGCGAACGGGUGAGUAACACGUGAGUAACCUGCCCUUGACUUUGGGAUAACUUCAGGAAACUGGGGCUAAUACCGGAUAGGAGCUCCUGCUGCAUGGUGGGGGUUGGAAAGUUUCGGCGGUUGGGGAUGGACUCGCGGCUUAUCAGCUUGUUGGUGGGGUAGUGGCUUACCAAGGCUUUGACGGGUAGCCGGCCUGAGAGGGUGACCGGCCACAUUGGGACUGAGAUACGGCCCAGACUCCUACGGGAGGCAGCAGUGGGGUAUGUUGCACAAUGGGCGGAAGCCUGAUGCAGCAACGCCGCGUGCGGGAUGACGGCCUUCGGGUUGUAAACCGCUUUCGCCUGUGACGAAGCGUGAGUGACGGUAAUGGGUAAAGAAGCACCGGCUAACUACGUG
rnacentral:rRNA from 1 species